CUGAAGCCUCCAGUAACCCAGACCCUGUGCUAAGUGGCAUCGAGGUGGCAGAGAGCACUAAGACUGGGACGUGUCCUCAGGGAAGUUACAGACAGCCUGCUGAGAGCCCUGCCAUGACAUCCUCCAGCUCAGCAUAUAGCUCUUGAGGAGACUUCUUCUUGUACUUAUGAAGAUAGAGUUGGGCAAGAUGGUUCAAAAGUCCCAGAAUCGAGGAGCUGAAGCAGGGAUCUCGUUGGAGGCUGCUGUCCUAUCUGUGGCUCACCUGCGUCUCUCCAGUGGUGCAGAAAUCAUUGGCAAGUGUCACAUGUGCCUGAGCACACGCUUGCUCAAAUCACGGCAAAGGAGAUCUCGAGACUCUGAAGAGAAUGUGUGGCUUCUGGUUUGGUAGAAAAACAGAAGAGCAUCACAGCUCCAGAAUUUCCCCCAGCCUCAUCCUAUGUGCUUUUACAUCACUCAAAAGAAGUCCAUUUUACUACCUGCUGAAGGUUUGAGUUCUCAAAUAAGAAACAAACAGCAACACUGCAGUGCAGAGGGGAGAAGAUGGCUCUUUCAAUGAAAUGCUUCUGGGUCAAUUGGCUAUUCAUAGAGGAAAAAAGACAUAUUUUAACGCCUACCUCUUACCACACACAUAAAUCAAUCCCAGUUGAUCAAUAAGCUUUCAGAAGAAAACACAGGAGAACAUCUUCAUUCCCUUGGAAUAGGUAACAAUCUCUUACAUGGGGAAAAAAUGUCACUAACCGUAAAGAGUCAAAUCGAGAAACUGGAUGAGAGUCUUUUCUCAGUAUCCACGGGGGAUCGGUUCCAGAACCCACCAUAGAUACCAAAAUCUGUGUAUGCUGCAGAGCCGGGCAGUCCUCCAUUCCUCUUCCAAGGAUCUGAUCAACCAUGGGUUGUAAACACAGCACUACCUGUUGUAAGUGAACCCAUGCAGUUCAAGCCCGUGUUGAUCAAGAGUCAAUGGCAUAUUAAAAUCAAGAACUUCUGCUCAUGAAAAACAUACCAUGGAGAAAGUAAAAAGGCAGCCUACAGAGUGGAAGAAGAUAUUUGUAACACAGAUAGAACUAAUAUCCAGAAUAUAUAAAAAAAAACUUUUGUAAAUCUGUAAGAAAGAGAAAGCCCAGAAGAAAAUACGCAAAAGGCUCAAAGAGACACUUCACAGAAACAGAAUAUCCAAAUGGCCAAUAAACUUAAUGAAAAAUGGCUUGUUAUUACUCAUCAGGGAAAUGCAAAUUAAAAUCUAUAUGCAAUCCAGCAACACACCCAUAAGAAUCACCAAAUUUUAAAAGAUGGGAAAUACCUCAUAUUGGCAAGGAUGUGGAGCAACCAGAACUCUCAUAGCUGCCAGUAGUUAAAUUGGCACAUGAUCUUUGGAAAAUAGUUUGGUGGUAUCUACUAGAGCUGAAUAUACACAUAUUUUAUAUAUAAGUUCUCUCCUAGUAUAGAAUGUAUACAUGUUCACCAAAAGACAUGUACAGGAAUAUCGAUAGCUAUUCAGAACAGCUGAAAUCAGAAAACCUCCCAGAUACCUGUAACAAUAGAAUGGGAAAAUAAAUUAUAGUAUACUCACAACAUAACCAUGGGAAUGUGUGAACUACUACCACGUGCAACAAUAGAGGGAUCAAGCCUACAAACAUGGUAUUGAAUGACAGCAGGCAGACACUAAUGAGUAUAUUCCGCAUGUUUCCUUUAUGGAAAGUAAGAAAUCAGACAAAAUUCUUCUAGGCUAUUAGAAGUCAGGUUAGUGGUUACUUGGAGAAGGGUGUAGGAACAAGCCUGGGUUAUCAGGAAGACUGGACUUCUCAGGUGUGAUAUCCUAUUUACUGAUCUAUGUGCUGCUGCAAAGGUAUAUUCACUUGGUAAAAAUUUAUUGAGCUGUGUAGUUAUUAUAAAGGCCGGCUAUUGCCACAACAAACCACCCCCAUACCCAGUGGCAGGCAAUAAGUAUUUACUUCCUGCUGACUUCUUGUGGGUAGAGUUCUGGGUUGGGCUGGGCUGGCUUUGGCUCUAAGCUGCUGGAUGAGGGCAGGGCCACUCCACACGACUCGCUUCCUCCUUUAACUGGCAGCUCUCCGAGGUAUGUUCUUUUAAGGUGAAAGGCAGGAUCCCAAGAUGGGUGAAAGAAAAUAUACAGGUCUCUUAAGGUCUAGGCUAGGAACCCAUGUCCUUUGACUGCUGCCCACAUUCCAUUGGCCAAAGCCAAUCAUGUGGCCAAGUCCAAACUCACUGGGGAAAUAGGCUUCUCUCAUGGAAGUCAAUGUGAAGCGUGAAAAUUUGGUGAAUACUAAUCUCAUUUGGGAGACUUCUCAGAGGUGCAGUUUUCCAUGUGAAUUUCAUGUUUCAAAAAAAUUUUUUUUUAAGGAAACCAAAAAAAGGUGUAGGAACAGCUAUACUCCCUUGUCCUCACCCCUUACUCCUCCUGGUCUUUAGUGAAGAAGGGAUGUGCUUAUGAAAAGUCUCCGUACAAGCCCAGGGAAGAAAGGAAGGAAGAACAUGCAAUUCCCUCGCACACAAUGCACUUUUUCUCUGCUGGGUUGAGAGAAAUGUCUCCGUGGUCAGCCACCCCUGCUGGAGGAACGGAGUACCAGUUCACCUUCCUCCAGAUGCAGCUGAAGGGCGGACCCCCGGUUUUCCCAGUCCCUGCGGCUCACCUUCAAUGGCUCCCUCUCACAGUGAAAUUGCUUAACAAAAGUAGAACUUUUUCAACCAGAAGGAAGGAGCUGCCUAUUUAUUUAUUUAUUUAGAGGAGAAAAGUCAAACAAAAGUUGAAUAACAGGGAUACUUGGCAGAGACUCAGGAAAACUGAGUAUCUCAGCAAAACGGCGAAAUCCCUUACCUUAAAUUCCAUUUUCGGCUGAAGACAAAAGAGGAACUGAGAAACUAGUGAAUAUAACAAAAAAAAAAGCAGACUCACAGACGCAGAGAACAAGCCAGG